rnacentral:rRNA from 1 species
CCUACGGGUGGCAGCAGUGAGGAAUAUUGGGCAAUGGACGAGAGUCUGAACCAGCCAAGUAGCGUGAAGGAUGACUGCCCUAUGGGUUUUAACCUUCUUUUAUAUGGGAAUAAAAUGUUCCACGUGUGGGAUUUUGUCUGUACCAUAUUAAUAAGGAUCGGCUAACUCCGUGCCAGCAGCCGCGGUAAUACGGAGGAUCCGAGCGUUAUCCGGAUUUAUUGGGUGUAAAGGGAGCGUAGGUGGAUUGGUAAGUCAGUUGUGAAAGUUUGCGGCUCAACCGUCAAAUUGCAGUUGAAACUGGCAGUCUUGAGUACAGGAGAGGUGGACGGAAUUCGUGGUGUAGCGGUGAAAUGCUUAGAUAUAACGAAGAACACCGAUGGCGAAGGCAGCUCACUGGACUGCAACUGACACUGAGGCGCGAAAGUGUGGGUAUCAAACAGGAUUAGAUACCCGUGUAGUC